AUGGCCCAGGAAGGCAUCAGUGCUGGAGGUGUCAUGGACCUUAAUACUGCUUUACAAGAGGUCCUGAAGGCUGCCCUCAUCCAUGAUGGCCUAGCACGUGGAAUUCGAGAAGCUGCCAAAGCCUUAGACAAGUGCUGGGCCCAUCCUUGUGCUGCCCCCAACUGUAAUGAGCCUGCCUAUGUGGCUGGCUGGUGAAGGCCCUUGUUGCUGAGCACCAGAUCACCCUAAUUAAGGUUGAUGACAAUAAACUAGGGGAAGGGAUGGACCACUGUAAAACUGACAGAAGGAAAACCCCAUAAAGUGGUUGGCUGCAGUUGUGUAGCGUUAAGGACUAUGGCAAAGGAUGUCAUCAAAGAGUUUU
rnacentral:lncRNA from 1 species